GCGGUGGCACCGUCCGGCCGGCGCCGUGCUCUGACAGGGUCCCGCGAUCGCGCCCGCCUCCGGGCUUCAGGCGGCGGCUGCGAGCCCCGGUGCGGCGGUGAGGGGGGCAGCUGCCGCAGCGCCGCCCGGGGGUGCGGACGAGCGAGAGAUGCCGAAGCUGCGUGGGGAGGCCUUCUGGAGGGAGACGCUGCGGAGCGCCCACUACGUGGUGGCGCCCAUGGUUGACCAGAGCGAGCUGGCCUGGAGGCUACUGAGCCGCCGCCACGGCGCCCAGCUCUGCUACACGCCGAUGCUGCACGCCCAGGUCUUUCUCAGGGACGCUAACUACCGCCGCGAGAACCUGUACGACGAGGCUUGUCCCGAGGACCGUCCGCUCAUCGUGCAGUUCUGUGCCAAUGACCCUGAAGUGUUUGUCCAAGCAGCACUGUUGGCUCAGGAUUAUUGCGAUGCCAUAGACCUAAAUUUGGGUUGCCCCCAAAUGAUUGCAAAGAGAGGUCACUACGGCGCAUUUCUGCAAGAGGAAUGGGAUCUUCUUCAGAGAAUGAUUUUUCUGGCUAAUGAGAAGCUCUCUGUUCCCAUCACAUGUAAAAUCCGCGUUUUCCCAGAAAUUGACAAGACAGUGAAGUAUGCACAGAUGCUGGAGAAGGCUGGAUGCCAGCUACUGACUGUGCAUGGCCGUACUAAAGAACAGAAGGGACCGCUUGCUGGCAUGGCGUCCUGGGAGCACAUUCAGGCUGUCAGAAAAGCUGUAAGCAUUCCUGUAUUUGCAAAUGGAAACAUCCAGUGUCUCAGUGAUGUUGAAGAAUGUAUCCGUAAAACAGGAGUGCAUGGUGUCAUGAGUGCAGAAGGUAAUCUCCAUAACCCAGCUUUGUUUGAGGGCCGAAACCCAUUGGUGUGGGAGAUGGCUGAGGAGUAUCUGGAGAUAGUGCAGAAGUACCCUUGUCCAUUGUCUUAUGUUAGGGCUCAUCUCUUCAAGCUCUGGCAUCACACGCUUCAAGUUUACCAGCAACUGCGUGAAGAAUUAGCAAAAGUGAAGACUCUAGAGGGCAUUGUAGAUGUCAACAGGGAGCUGAAACUACGAUGCCAGGAAGAAAUAGCUAAUCAGAAAGAAGGAGAAAAGCCAAAAGAAGGGUUGCCUUUCUUCCACUGGAUCUGUCAGCCAUACAUCAGGCCAGGGCCAAAGGAGAGAUGCAAGGAGAAUGGAGCCAGUGAAAAAGGUGUGCGAGGAAAACGUGCUUUGGAAGAGGAGGAAGAUGGAAAUGCUGAGCUUCUGUCAAAGAAUAAACAAAAAAAGAAGUUGAGAAAUCCAAAUAAAAGCUUUGAUCCAUCUUUAAAACCCAAAUACGCAAAAUGUGAUCAAUGUGGAAACCCUAAGGGCAAUAAAUGUGUGUUUAACAUGUGCCGAGGCUGCUGUAAGAAAAGUGCAUUCAAAGCAACAGCAGACUGCCCAGGUCAUGGCUUACUUUUUAAGACCAAAUAUGAAAAAUCCCUUUCAUGGCAGAGUAGUCAAAGAGUAAUUCAAAACCCAGAGGCCAGUCGGAGAGGAGAUGUAGAUGUGGGGGAGACUGCUGUACUGAAGGAGGCUGGUGACAGUACAGUGUUGAAGCUUUGACAGUACCCACUUAAAGAGCUCUGCCAGACCUCUGUUUCCCUGGGCCAAGGAACAUGCCGUCUCCAGCUCACCGUCAGCUGUGCAAACUUGUUCCUCAGAUUUAUUUUAAGUUGGUGUGUAACAAUUCCCCAACAGCUCCUGCAGCUUUUACUGGCCAGUGACAAGAAAUUAUCCUGUGGUUGAGUUCUCAGUCUUGCAAGCACAUAUAGCAAGCAAAAGGCCAACACAGUGGACCACUGUACACUUCCCCAGACCAUCAGAAAGCUCAGUCACUGCUCACUGUGCCAGAGAAGAGUUUACAGAGUCAGAAAAGAAACGAGAAACAUCUGCUGUGCUGACACACCAGUGGACUGGUGCUAUGUGAGACAUUCCGGUCACAUUCUUAACCACACAGUAGGAUUUCAGAACACAACUCUCACAAGCAGUCUCAUCACAGAAUCACCAGUGUGAAGAAAGGAUCAAGCUGGCAUUAGGCUCCUAAAUUAAGGAAGGUUCUUAUUCUUGGGAAUCCCAAUUUGGACAUCUCUAUACAGAAUUAGUGUUUAAGGCAUAUGUGUCCCUACCUGCUCUUCCAAGGCCUUUCUGAAUAGGCAAUGCAGACAGAUGCACACUUGUCUUGCGGGCUCCUGUCCCAUGCUGUGGCAGAAGACUGCAGUGCUCCUCCCACCGGGCUGGAAACUGCUCGGGCAGGCAUAGCAACACAGAACUCACUUUGUGCAUUAACUACAUCACCACACUAGUGGAAAAAGUUUCAACCUGGACUUCCAAGACAUUCUAGAAGCUGAUACAUUGCUAUUGAGGAGGUGGAGAUGACCACUCUGUCAUUCCUUAAUUUAAAAAGCUGGUGAAUUAGGAGGCAGUAUUACAACAUAAAUAAAGCUGAGCCAUUUCCCAUUCAGGCUGGACACAUCUGCACCCACACUAACUAGGGAUUGAUUUCAGGCAAUACACUCAUUACCCCGUAUAAUAAAAAAAAAAAAAUCAGCCUGCCAAGUGAGCAAGGUCAUGUCCUAUUUUGUUACUGUUUCACAGGCCUUCAAAAAGAUACUAGUUAACUUGAAUGGAAAUACCGGGAGGAAAAGGCAAAGCUCUGCAUGCAGAAUGAUGGUGAAAUGACCCUGUCUGGGUUUGAGGGAGGUUGGAUUCUUGUAUCUAAAUCCAUUUUCAGAGGCACACAAAAACGUAGUAGUCGUUCACCUGACAAAAAGGAAGGCAAAUGCCUCUGCUGGCAAAGAACUUGUGAGAGCAGACAGCCAAGAUUAAAAGAAAA